UACGUAGGUGGCAAGCGUUGUUCGGAAUUAUUGGGCGUAAAGGGCGCGUAGGCGGUCUUGUAAGUCAGCUGUGAAAGCCCGGGGCUCAACCCCGGAGGGUCGGCUGAUACUGCAGGACUGGAGUACGGAAGAGGUAGCUGGAAUUCCCGGUGUAGCGGUGAAAUGCGCAGAUAUCGUCAAGAACACCGAUAGCGAAGGCAGCUUACUAAGCUCAAACUGACACUGAUGCACGAAAGUGUGGGGAUCAAACAGG
rnacentral:rRNA from 1 species